UGAAUUUAAGCAUAUAAGUAAGCGGAGGAUAAGAAACUAAAUAGGAUUCCCUUAGUAAUGGCGAAUGAACAGGGAUAAGCUCAGCAUGGAAAUUGGGGCCUCUGGCCUUGAAUUGUAGUCUUGAGAUGUGCUGCCAACGGAGGCGCAGAUGUAAGCCUCUUGGAAAAGAGCAUCAGUGAGGGUGAGAGUCCCGUCUGUCAUCUGCAGUUCUCUGUGCACGGUGCAUUUUCUAAGAGUCACGUUCCUCGGGAUUGGAGCGCAAAUUGGGUGGUAAAUUUCAUCUAAAGCUAAAUAUUGGUUCGAGACCGAUAGCAAACAAGUACCAUGAGGGAAAGGUGAAAAGGACUUUGAAAAGAGAGUUAAAAGUGCCUGAAAUUGCUGAAAGGGAAGCGAAUGGAACCAGUUGUUCUUGGCGAGUAUUGGUGUUGUCUAAAGUGAUGGCUUGCCACCUCAACGCAAGUGUGGUGGCAGGUUUUGAUCUGGAUGCGAUACUGCUUCUCGCCUUGCAUGUCAACGUCAGUUCACAAUUGAGGAAAACUCUGGGGACAUGGUAAUUUGCUUCCGGGUGACUGAAUGUGCCUAGUCGAACUCAUUUGUGAACUGCUCCCUGUGUGUCUGGUAGCAGUGCUCUGCUGUGCAUCUUCAAAAGCUUAAGCCUCGUCUCGUGCCUGGCUUUCGCUGUCUGUCGGUGCCUGGAGCACGUCCUUGACAUAAGUACGAUGACGAAAUGGUUUUAUUCGACCCGUCUUGAAACACGG
rnacentral:rRNA from 1 species